CCAAGCCGGCGUCCCGGAUGUAGAAGUAGCUGGGCGGCCGCUGUUCUCGGUCGUGCACCCCCCUAAAGAGCUUGGUGCAGGAGAGUCCUGAGGCACAGCCUGAAAAAGCUGAGUGUCAGUGCAGUGGAAAUGAAGGCAACCCUUCGCAUUCCUGUGACUGAGUCUUCAUGUUGAGCCCUUCUUCGUGGAUGAGUAUGCAUGUGCUAGAAUUGUUGAAGCUAGACUUUCAAGUAGCUGUGAGCCACCUGAAGUACAUGCUGUGACCAACUGCAGUCUUCUGGGAGAACAAGUUUCAUUACUGAGCCUUACCUCCAGACCCUCAUGGUAAGUAGUUUAAGUUGUUAAUAUUUAUUUUGGGAUGAUCUCAGUCCUUAUGAACUGACUUUGUUUGCCAUUAAUUAACAUCUUGUCACACAAACAAUAGACCAAGUGCUUCAGGAAUUUACCCUCAACAUCUUUAUCUAAAAUGUUUAAUUGUAGGAAAAUUUAAAUUAUGAUGCAUUAAACCCUUACACACACACACACACACACUCUUGCUCUUUUGAGACAAGAUUAUGCUAUAUAGCCCACAGUGCCCAGGUUGAUCUUGAACUCCUGAUUUUCC
rnacentral:lncRNA from 1 species